CAUUAGAGAGGAGAGGAGACGACCGAGCGCGGGAAACAGGAGAGCAGACGACCGACCGACUUGGGUGUUCGCCGACAACUGACUUAGGUAAGCUAAGACAGUGAAACAUCUUCUCCGACGACUACCACCUAUGUUCGAAAUCCCUACCGCCAUGCAUAGGAGAUUUGCUUUGAGUCAGUUGGAGUUAGGAAUUUCAUGCUCUACAAGAAGCCCAAGAUGGAGAAUGAUGCUGCCAUUGAUGAUGAAAAGCAGAGGAUUGACAGGAAGGGGAAUGGAGAAGUUCUGUUUGAGGCUUUAAUUGUAAUAAAAUAGAAGUUCUAUUUUUUGUAACCAUUUUUUCCCCUUGCAAUAAAAUAGAGAAGUUCUAUUUUUA